UAGCAGGGCGCACCGAGGCUAGGUGGAAACAAAUGAGCUUGGAUCCUGAGGCGCGCCGGGCUCGGAGCCGCCAAACUUGCUAGCGGGCGGCGGGGGAGGUGGCUACGCGGCGCCGGGUGCUGAGCUCCGGGAUGUGCCCGCGAAGGCAGCCCCGACCGCCCCGCCCCCAGCCCGCCCCCCACGGCGGGCGGCGGCGGCGCGGGGCUCGGGGCCCGGCCCCCGCUGCGGCUGCGUUCGCCUAGGAGCCGGGGCAGGAGCGCGGGCUUGGCUACUCUGGCUGGUUGCGCUCCGCACUGGAGGCCGGUUCAGUUCGCCUCCUUCGCCCGCGGAACUGCGAGGAUUUGGACUGCAGACGCGUCAGCCGCACCGAAGUCGGAGUCCCGGGACCUGCGGCCGAAAGGAGUGAGCGCGAGGCGCACGGCGCCCACACGGCUUCACGCGCUCCAGCCGGGCCAAGCCGCCGUUUCCGCGGUUGCGGUCUCCGUUUCCGCACCGCGGUGGGGGCUGCCGAAGUUGCCACAGUUCAUCCCCGCAGAGUGAAAAAGCCGCCGAACCCUCGCGGUCACAUUUUGGCCUCAUUUGCAAUUUCUCCGGGACCUCCAUCUUCUUUUCCGUCCCCCACCACCACACCAUUCUCUGAAGAGAAAAGCUGGGCUUUGUUUCUACUCGUGGGCAAGAAGAGAAUGCGUCCUCUCCCCUCUAUGCGACCAUUUCAGGACCUGACCUUCCCUAUGAAGAUCCCCCAGAUGAAAAAGAAGUGAACAAGCAGGUAAAUUCCAACUUAAGAAGUCUGCUGUGCAAUCCAGAAGCUGUGCUGAAUGAUUAAGAAGUAAACUGAUGUCAGCCGACUCCAACUCAAAUUCAACUAAGGCCCAGAGAAAAUCUGUCUGCCUUGACUCUGUAUUUUCAUUAAUGGAGUCCACAUGUUUUUUCUUACACCUGGAGUGUGUUGUAUUUAAAGCUAACAUUAAAAUGACACAUCUUGAAGAAAAUAGGAUUUCUCAAGUCUUUGUGGCUUUUGUGGACAAGGACACCAUACUUCAUGCUGUAUUGUAAGAGCCAUUUCCUGUCUCUCCUCUGCAUUCUUUAAGUACACCUUAGCAGGAACAGCCUUGAGUGCUUUGGACUGUUGUUUACAAGGCCCUUUUAUUGAUUUCAGACAGCCCAGAAUCCUUAAAAGUACGGUAAUCCCCCAAGGGGAAAAGGUGGUAUGGGUAAGAUCUUUGGAGCUCUCUAUCUUUAAAGUCUUUGUGUAAUUAGCUGGUCCUGUGGGAUGGAACUUUUAGCUUGUUCCAUGAAAAAAUAAGGCAAGACAUAUGUUCUGUCAUAGCUUUGCAGCAUAACAUCUAUUAACAGUAACAAGAGUUAAUCUCAACAAGGUCAUAAAGCUUUCCUAGAUAACUAAGUACUGCAAUCACCUCCUAUAGGUAUAAUCCUUAAAUGAGGCAUUUUGAGUGUGUAGGCCUGUUAAGCUAAGGUUACCUUCAUAGAAUGGGCCCACCAAGUUUCUGUAGUGACAAUAAAGGUACACAUGGCUAUGUAUAUAUUUGAUGG
rnacentral:lncRNA from 13 species